rnacentral:rRNA from 1 species
AACGAACGCUGGCGGCAUGCCUAACACAUGCAAGUCGAACGAGAUCUUCGGGUCUAGUGGCGCACGGGUGCGUAACGCGUGGGAAUCUGCCCUUUGGUCCGGAAUAACAGUUGGAAACGACUGCUAAUACCGGAUGAUGACGAAAGUCCAAAGAUUUAUCGCCAGAGGAUGAGCCCGCGUAGGAUUAGCUAGUUGGUGUGGUAAAGGCGCACCAAGGCGACGAUCCUUAGCUGGUCUGAGAGGAUGAUCAGCCGCACUGGGACUAAGACACGGCCCAGACUCCUACGGGAGGCAGCAGUGGGGAAUAUUGGACAAUGGGCGAAAGCCUGAUCCAGCAAUGCCGCGUGAGUGAUGAAGGUCUUAGGGUUGUAAAGCUCUUUUACCCGGGAUGAUAAUGACAGUACCGGGAGAAUAAGCUCCGGCUGACUCCGUGCCAGCAGCAGCCGCCG